rnacentral:rRNA from 1 species
GUGCACCAGUCGCGAAAACUCCGCAAUACGCGAAGGCGUGACGGGGCCAUCCCGAGUGCCGUCCGCUGAGGAUGGCUUUUCCCCAGUGUAGAUAGCUGGGGGAAUAAGGAGAGGGCAAGUCUGGUGUCAGCCGCCGCGGUAAUACCAGCUCUCCGAGUGGUGGGGACGUUUAUUGGGCUUAAAGCAUCCGUAGCCGGCUGGGCAAGUCCCCUGUUAAAUCUAACGAUUUAAUCGUUGGAUUGCGGGGGAUACUGCUCGGCUUGGGGACGGGAGAGGCCGACGGUAUUCCCGGGGUAGGGGUGAAAUCCUAUAAUCCCGGGAGGACCACCAGUGGCGAAGGCUGUCGGCUAGAACGUGCCCGACGGUGAGGGAUGAAAGCUGGGGGAGCGAACCGGAUUAGAUACCCCGGUAGUCC